GGAGAAAGGAGCGCCGGGGCCAAGCAGCCUGCGCUCGCACUCACUGGGUGUGCCUACCCAUACUCCACCCAGUGAAGCCGACAGCAUAUCCAAUCAGCACGGCUGCGCGUGCUGCCUUGAAAGCAGAGUCUAUUUAUUUCACGGCCAGUAUCCAUUCGUGUACGACAACACGGUGGUGGCCGGAAACACCACAGAAAAAUCUUCCAUUGGCCAGUCUGUUUCCUGGGCUGUUGCCUGAUGCCCUUCUGCAUAAGGGGUUGCAAGGACAUCUCCCACGUCUGUCCAGAGUGCAACAGAGUGCUGGGCACAUUCCGCAGGGUUUAGGCUACCCCGCAGUGGCCACGCGGUCUUCGCCCCGUGAGGAAAGCCAUGGCUACUUCCUCGUGCUCCCCAAAAGGCACCUCGAGCUUCAAAUUCCGCAGCACAAGUGGCAACCCACUGCAUAAAAUCUCGGCGUCGGGCUCACCUGCUCAUUCCUCGACGCUCGGCACGG